rnacentral:lncRNA from 1 species
UAGUUUCAAGUUUCUUUUCAAGGAAAUAAAUUUACCUACCAUCAGGAUUUUUUUAGUUAAAAUAAUGAUAAUUUAAAGAAAGAUACUAUCAAAAUUUGAUAGGAAAUUGAUGAAAAUAUAAUGGGAGACUUUGCUUGAGUGAAAAGCAAAAUUGAAGUAUUUUAAGGGAAGACUCUAAUGGAGUGACCAGAGAAAACUGAAGAAAAUAUAAGGGGAGACUCUGUCAUACUAUAGAAAGCUUAAAUUAAUUGCAUCAGACUCGAGUUAAGUGGGUGUUGUGGGUUUUCAUUGCAUAUGUAGUUUUUGAAAUGUUUUAAAAGUAUUUUCAGCAUAGUAAGUUGGUAUUGUGAUUGCAUAGACUAUUUAGUUUUCAAAGUUUUUCAAAGUAUUUUCAGUAUAGUAAGUGAAUAUUGUGAUUAAAAGGCUUAUGUAGUUUUUAAGUAUUUUUCAGUGUUUUAUACGGAUUUUCAUAUAUAAAGUGCAAGUGUUUUGUGAAAGUCCUAUUAUGUUUUUAGUGUUAUUUUGCCCAUGUAUUUUAGAUAAUGAUUUUGAUAAGUGUGCAUCACUCGUUAUUGAGGUGAGUCAUUUGAAAAGCACAUGCAUGAUGUUAGGCUUCAGUGUGCCUUUACAUAAUCAUUCCAUUUUCGGGUAGAGUGGGAAAGUGAGAAGUGUGAACCUAUACAUAACUGUUGUAUUUUUGGGUGUAUGGGGAAGUGUUAAGUGUUAAGUGUUCGCCUAGCAUGCAUGGUAGUAGGAAGAUGUGAAUGGCCCUCCAUAAAGGUGAUAAAGUGGAGCUCAUUGUAAAUAUAGCGAAGUGCAUCUGUUUUCUGAUUCUGGGACAUGUGCCUCAUUGUACAAUGUGGCACACGAUACCUGCUGAGUGAUCUGGUACAUGCGAGAGUGUACUGUAUUGUACAAUGCAGUAAUAUGUUUUCUAAAUCGUUAUUCUGGUUUUAGUUUUUGACUGUGCAUCUAUUUUCAGUGAAAGUGAAUAUAUUUUUUAGAAAAGUGUAUCAGAUGUAUAUGUUUAAUGUGUGUGAAAGCUAUAUAUAUUGCAUGUAUUAGUUGUGUUGUCAUAAUAUCUGUUUACUGGGAUAAUAUAUCUCACUCCCUUAUCAUUUUCAGAUAAUGAAGAUUUUCCUGCAGAACAAUAUGUGAUAUGAAAGAGAAAUUGAGAAGUUAGAGAUUAGGUUACUAGUUUUUUAUAUUAUAGGAAAAGAAAAAAUUUUAAAGUCUUGUAUUGUAUUGUAGCUGAUGUACAUUAUUCAAGGUAUGUAGCGCUUCUGCAUACUUUAUAUAUUAAUAAAAGUUAAUUUUUGUUAUUUAGUUAAGUAUAAAGUGUAAGUGUACUCCGAACACGUCCCAGAAGAAGUGGGGGUGGGCCGCGAUAAAGUGGUAUCAAAGCACAGUUCUAGAAGACAUCCCUUGAAUAUGAGGCUUAGGGUUACACGAAACCUAAAAAGUGUAGUGGAACUUAGAAUGAGUAUAAUAGAAUGUCGUAGGAACCCUCUCCUGACCCUAAAGCAUUCGGGAGUUAAAAAUAGUGAGAUCAAGGAGAGUGCCUACAUACGAGGUCUAGAAGAUAGGACUGAAUAGAAUCUCAAUGGACUUAUGUGUAUAGAACAACUUAGGCGAGACAUUUUAGACACUCAUGGACUUUUUAAGGAUCUAAGGAAUAAUGAAUCCAGGGAUGAGUGUUUUGAGAAGUGAAGAGGAGUCCUAUAUGAUCGAACCUUGAGAAUUAAAGGUUCCCUGACUAAAUAAAUUACCAAAUAAGACAAGUGUAUUCGUCUUUAUGGUGAGAGUUGCAAUGAAACGUGAUAUAUUGGGAGAUAAAAGAUUAUGAGUGAACAUCCUAUUGAUAGUAUAGAGGUCAGACAUUGUUAUGACUUGGAAGAAUAAAUGUUGUGGGUCCUGAGAUCAUGUGAAUAAAACAUUUAUUUUGGAGGAUAUAAGCUAUUUUUGUUUAUCAAAGAAAGACUAGCUACUAGAAAAUAAUGUUGUUACCCCAUUUACUAGAGACUAGUUCAAACUAUGAAAGUAUAUAACACUGUAAUAAGGAUUACCCUACCAUUAAAGUAGAGAAUAAGUCAAGAACCUAAGAGAAGGUAUAUUAUCACCCAUUUGAGAAUUGUAAGCAAACCAUACUCCUAAAAGUAUUUUCUCAAAUUAAGUAAAAUGAUACCCUUAAACCUUCGGGAUGAGAAUAGACAAGUAUUAUUGGAGAAAAAUAACCAAUAGUGGGAAAAAUAUCAAAAUAAGUUUCCUUACUAAGUUGAAGUAAAUGAUCAGAAAUAACUCAAGAUCCUAAAUAACUUGGCUUGUAUGUUUCUUAGAUAUCCUGAGCGGAGACAAUAAAGUGAACAAGGUAAGAUAGGGGGAGAUCACCCUAAAAAUUAAACAUUUAAUAGUCAUGUCUUCUAGGAUCACGUGAUCAUUUGAAAUCUUUGGGAGUUCAUAAUACUUAACCUUAGAGAGGUGGAAUCAAUUAUCGAGUGUAAUCGAUCUUAAUAAGACCUUUAAAGAAUCCUAAUAAGUAGCUAUAAGGAGGAAUUCCAUACAUAAAGACCUUAAAAGAACCCGAUUAAUGAUUGAGAUUUUGGGAGUCACCCCUACUGGAUAAACUUGAAGAUAACAGUACACUAUGAUACCAAGCAUAGAUAAAUUCUCAAUAAAUCCAUCUUUAUUUUUGGAAGUCAAAAAAGGAUGACCCACUUUAAAAGUAUGUGUAAGCCUUAAAAAACUAUAAGCUUGAGAAAGAGGUUUCGGAAGAAAUCAAGGAGACAUGAGGAAAACUUAACAAAAUUGGACGAGGAUUAUAGACCUUGAUAAGUUAAGGAUCCUUAUUGAUUUAACUAAGAAGAAUAAGUUGCUUCGGUACCAAGUCAAUGAGUGAGGAGAAAAGAUCUUGAUUUAGAAGAAUGCAAACAUAAAUAUGAUGUUGAGGCCACGUGAAAGCAAUUAAGCGCCAUAAAGUCUACUACAUCAUUAUGAGGAGUUCCAUUAUUGAUUAUAUAAAGGUUAAAGACUCUAUGAGCAUUUGAUCAAUUAUCAAGUUAUUAUUUAGAGACCAUCCAGACCNNNN